UCGGGGGGUGGAGGGAGCUGUGUGUGUGUGUGUAUAUAUACUGGGAUCUUUCCCAACCAGCUCUGGUGCUUCAACUAUUUCUGGGAAUAGAAGGAGAGCAAAGGGGGCUGAAAGAUCCCACACAGACAAUCACACACCUCUACUGCUACUGCUGCUGCUGCUGCUGCUCACGGGAAGAGAACCUGUCAUCCAUCACUUUCCUCCUUAUUCCACCUUGGGACACAUCUGUCUGGAUGACACCUUCAAAUGACCUCAUCUGAUGCUGCUGGUCACACUGUCACACUUCAGUUGCGUUGAAUUGACUGUUCUGCAAAAAAAAGAACUAGGAGAUUUAGUUGGUAUCCAGUAAAUGAUUAACACAUGUGGAACUUUUAGAGGGAAACUGGCACAUUUUCAGCUUGUGUAGAGUCCAGUUACAUCAUCAUUUAUUUAUUGCAUAAUACCCAUGUAUUGGCAUUUUUUGUUUUUCAGUUAGCCGACUAAGAAGGAGCUGCUACGCACACCUGUUCACUUAUUAUACCAUUUAGAAAAGUAGCGCAAUGGCUCUCAGACACCUCUGGGGCUCCUGGAUGGUGCUUUGGUUGAUGGGUACCCAAGCUUUGCCUAGGGGAGAGGUGACAGUGCCAGAAUUAUCUUCAGGCGUGGAUGGGAAGGUGACACUGAGGCUGACUGCUCUGGGUGGAGUGUUGGAAUUUCAACUGUUCCCUGACCAUGCUUUCCUGGCACCUGGGGUCCAUAUCACACACUUGGGCAGGGACGGCGCGGAUGAGGAGGACACUGCUGGACUGAGAAACUGUUUUUACUCCAGCCAGAAGCAACUGGCAGCUUUUAGCCUAUGCAGAGGGGUUCAGGGGGUUUUCCAUAAUGGUGAAGACAGGUAUGUGGUCCAGCCUCUACGGACACUGGCAGGAUGGGGGGCUUUAGGUCAACACAUUGUAUUCAAAGUGGGCAAGGCUGAGAAUGUGGGCAGCAGGGCUGGAGAGAACAAAGAAGAAAUGAUCAGCCAAAGCAGGGAAGAUAAAGACUAUAUCAGAGUACAUAGGGAACAUACAGCAGGGAAGUUAGGGAAGAAGAGGAAGAAUAAAGAUGUAAAAUGGGGCAGACCUGGCUCUUUAUCCACUGACUGGAGAAACUCCAUACAAGAGGCGAAGGAACAUUUGGUUCUUGACAGGAGCAUCUCUGAAAGACCUAUUAGCCAUGCUGGCACCAUUCCUCGAAACCGCCAGAGGAGGUUUGUGUCAUCUGAGCGUUUUGUGGAAAUUCUCCUUGUGGCAGACACAUCAAUGGUUCGCUUCUACGGGGAAGACCUACAGCUCCAUCUCCUGACAUUGAUGUCUGUGGCCUCUCGCAUCUACAAGCACCCCAGCCUGAGGAACUCUGUGAACUUAGUUGUAGUAAACGUUCUGAUCGUGGAUGGAGAUACAGGUCCAGAAGUGUCUGACAACGGUGGUCUGACCUUACGGAACUUCUGCAGGUGGCAGCAGAAGUACAACCCAUCGAGUGAUCGCCAUCCAGAGCAUUACGAUACCGCCAUUCUCAUCACGCGUCAGGACUUUUGUGGACAUGAGAGCUGUGACACGCUGGGAGUAGCUGACAUCGGGACAGUGUGUGACCCCAGCAAGAGUUGUUCUGUGAUUGAAGAUGACGGACUACAGGCAGCCUACACCCUGGCCCAUGAGCUUGCUCACGUCCUCAGUAUUCCACAUGACAACUCCAACAAUUGCAGGAAGGUGUUUGGUGAUCUGGACAGACACCACUUGAUGGCUCCGGUCUUUCUGCAGCUAAACAAGUCCAUGCCAUGGUCACCAUGCAGUGCCAUGCACCUUACAGAUUUCUUUGAAAGCGGCCAUGGGGACUGUUUGUUGGAUGCACCAGGCAGGAUUCUGGACCUUCCCCAGGAUCUUCCCGGAACAUCAGCUCAAUACGAUUUGGACAAUCAGUGUCGUCAGGUUUUUGGCAAAGAGUUCUGUCACUGUCCUAAUACCAGGCCAGAAGAUAUCUGUGCCCAGCUCUGGUGUAAAAUCCAAGAGGAUCAAGCUUGCCAUACCAAAAAUGGCAGCCUGCCCUGGGCUGAUGGGACGCCUUGUGGGGACGGGCACGUUUGCUGGGAGGGAAUCUGUCAGGAGGAAGAGGAUGUUCUUAAACCAAAGGUUCCUGUGGAUGGAAAUUGGGGAACUUGGGGUUCCUGGGGCGAAUGCUCACGGAGCUGUGAAGGAGGUGUACGUUUUUCCUAUCGAGAAUGUAACAAUCCAGAACCUGAGAAUGGUGGCAAGUACUGCCAAGGCCAGAGAGCCAUCUAUGAAUCAUGCAACACCCAGGAGUGCCCCUUGCAGGAGAAGAGUUUCCGGGAGGUGCAGUGUGAGAAGUACAAUAUCUAUAACUACACAGACAGACAAGGAAACUUCAUUGAGUGGAUUCCUAAGUACUCAGGAGUCUCCCCCCGGGACCGAUGCAAGCUCAUGUGCAGGGCACGUGGGGGCAGCGAAUUCAACGUUUUCCAACCUAAGGUGAUAGAUGGCACCCUGUGUGGUCCAGAAAGCCUAUCGGUCUGCGUACAGGGUCAAUGCAUUAAAGCCGGGUGUGAUCAUGUAUUGCAUUCCUCAAAGAAGCUGGACAAAUGUGCAGUGUGUGGAGGGGAUGGAUCGAGCUGCAGGAAAAUAUCUGGAUCGCUCAACAAGUCCAAGUAUGGAUAUUCAGAUGUUGUCACCAUUCCAGCGGGAGCCACAAAUAUUGAUGUGAAGCAGCGCAGUCACCGUGGCAUUGUAUAUGAUGGGAUCUACCUGGCAAUCAAGAGAGCUGAUGGGAGCUAUCUUCUGAAUGGGGAGUUAAUAGUUUCCUCAAUUGAACAGGAUGUCCAUUUAAGAGGAACAGUUUUAUUAUACAGUGGAUCCAACACCACCCUAGAGAGGCUUCAGAGCUUCCAUCCUCUCCCUGAGCCUCUGACAAUACAAAUCCUUCGAGUAGCUAGUGAGAACGUCCCACCCAAAAUCAGAUAUACAUUUUUUGUGCCUAAGAACUUGCCGUAUGGACGACAAAAAGCCAAGGAUAAGGUAUCUCAUCACUCACUCAGGCCUCUACUAACUGCUCAGUGGUUUUUGGGAGACUGGUCUGCAUGCUCCAAGAGUUGUGGUUCUGGGUGGAAGAGAAGAACAGUGGAAUGUCGAAACAUGGAUGGAGGGGCCUCAGAUCAAUGUCCACAAGAGCUCAGACCUGAGGACAUUCGGGCUUGUGGGGACUUACCCUGCCCCAUGUGGAGAGCAAACGGCUGGUCACAUUGCUCUCAAAGCUGUGGGGAAGGAAUGAGGACACAGAGGAUAUCAUGUGUGGACUAUACAGGAAAAGAGACAGAAGAUGAUAAAUGUGACCCAAAGAAACUUCCUGCAGCGUCUGUGACUCCUUGUAAGCUGGAGGAAUGCUGAGGACCUUUCAGGGUGGAUAAAAUCCUGGCAGCUACAAACAUUAGCCCCAUUGCUGCUGGUAGAGAUGGAUGACUUGGAUCAAUCGGGAUAAAAGACUUUGAUGUGUGAUCUAAAGCUGUGCUCUUCGUGAAACUGUAAUACAGGGUCUGCCAGCAGCAAUGAAAGCAACUGUGCACUAUAUGACAAGAGCGGAUAUUGCUCUGCCUUAAAAAGACUAACUACAGAACGGAGACACGUUUUGUGUUUCAGGAUAGAAAUCUACCUCACUAGAGAAUAUGUAACCUUUUGUAUCAGCUCCAUGUUCUAUGUCUUUCAGCGACUUUUCCAGGAAAGCUCAGAAGAGUUAGCUAUUGCUCUUCAUGUACUUUCUUCUGAAAGAAGGUCAUACUUUGUGUUGCAGCAUGUUGAAAUCAUGUUGCAUAAUUAUUUCAGUGUACUUUUCCUCCAGGCUAGUGCCAUAGAAGGGAAAUGUGUUUGUAAACUUGCUGUUUCACCAUGCACCAUGAACUUUCAUAUAAGCAUUUAUUUAUCCCAAACAUGUUGGGCAUUGUUUGAGUUAUGGAAUAGUACCAGAAUCUAUGUAAAUGCUGUUUGCUGGUUAUACACAUACACUUUAUGGCCAAACGUAUAUGGAUGCCCCCUCCAAAUAGGUUCAGGGUACAUUUUGCACAAUUUUGUGCUUUUAGCCUCGUGACAACAGAUUUGGAAGGCAUUUCACCUUGUGACAACAGUUUGGAGGAAAGCAUGUUUCUGUUCCAACAUAACUGUGCCCCCACGCACAAAGCCAGCUCCAUAAAGACAUGGAUUCACUAGUUUGGUGUGAAGGAACUUGAGUGACCUGCACAGAGCCUGAUCUCAACCCUACUGGACAGCUUUGGAAUGAACUAGAAUGCUGAUUGUGAGCCAAGUCUUUACAUCCAACAUCAGUACCUGACUUCACAAAUGCACUUUUUGAUGAAUGGGCACGAUUUCCUCCAUACACAACAAAAAAUCUAAAAUCGAUCUUCUCAGAAGACUGGAGAAUGUUAUAUCUGCAAAGGGGGAAUCUCCUUAUACAUGUCCAUGAUUUUGGAAAGUGAUGCCCAACAAGCUAAUUUACAGUGGAUGUUAUGGGCGGGGGAAAAUUUACCUUUGGCCAUAAAGUGUAUUUCUGGGCAAACCUAAAUAAUGCCUAUAAACAGACUGCAGCAACAACAGCAUUAAAAAAACAUCCGUGUAACACAUAAAGUUUGGCAGUAAAAUGCUUAUGCUGUACAGGAUGCUCUGCCACUUGCUAACAUCAAAAGUUCUACUAAAUGUGCCAAUGUCAUUUUAUUUAA